rnacentral:rRNA from 1 species
GAUGAACGCUGGCGGCGUGCCUAAUACAUGCAAGUCGAGCGAACAGACGAGGAGCUUGCUCCUCUGACGUUAGCGGCGGACGGGUGAGUAACACGUGGAUAACCUACCUAUAAGACUGGGAUAACUUCGGGAAACCGGAGCUAAUACCGGAUAAUAUAUUGAACCGCAUGGUUCAAUAGUGAAAGACGGUUUUGCUGUCACUUAUAGAUGGAUCCGCGCUGCAUUAGCUAGUUGGUAAGGUAACGGCUUACCAAGGCUACGAUGCAUAGCCGACCUGAGAGGGUGAUCGGCCACACUGGAACUGAGACACGGUCCAGACUCCUACGGGAGGCAGCAGUAGGGAAUCUUCCGCAAUGGGCGAAAGCCUGACGGAGCAACGCCGCGUGAGUGAUGAAGGUCUUCGGAUCGUAAAACUCUGUUAUUAGGGAAGAACAUAUGUGUAAGUAACUGUGCACAUCUUGACGGUACCUAAUCAGAAAGCCACGGCUAACUACGUG